GAUGAACGCUGGCGGCGUGCCUAAUACAUGCAAGUCGAGCGAACAGACGAGGAGCUUGCUCCUCUGACGUUAGCGGCGGACGGGUGAGUAACACGUGGAUAACCUACCUAUAAGACUGGGAUAACUUCGGGAAACCGGAGCUAAUACCGGAUAAUAUAUUGAACCGCAUGGUUCAAUAGUGAAAGACGGUUUUGCUGUCACUUAUAGAUGGAUCCGCGCCGCAUUAGCUAGUUGGUAAGGUAACGGCUUACCAAGGCAACGAUGCGUAGCCGACCUGAGAGGGUGAUCAGCCACACUGGAACUGAGACACGGUCCAGACUCCUACGGGAGGCAGCAGUAGGGAACCUUCCGCAAUGGGCGAAAGCCUGACGGAGCAACGCCGCGUGAGUGAUGAAGGUCUUCGGAUCGUAAAACUCUGUUAUUAGGGAAGAACAAAUGUGUAAGUAACUAUGCACGUCUUGACGGUACCUAAUCAGAAAGCCACGGCUAACUACGUG
rnacentral:rRNA from 1 species